UAGCUGAUCUGAGAGGAUGAUCAGCCACAUUGGGACUGAGACACGGCCCAAACUCCUACGGGAGGCAGCAGUGGGGAAUCUUGCACAAUGGGGGAAACCCUGAUGCAGCGAUGCCGCGUGAGUGAAGAAGGCCUUUGGGUUGUAAAGCUCUUUCGUCGGGGAAGAAAAUGACUGUACCCGAAUAAGAAGGUCCGGCUAACUUCGUGCCAGCAGCCGCGGUAAUACGAAGGGACCUAGCGUAGUUCGGAAUUACUGGGCUUAAAGAGCACGUAGGUGGUUAAGAAAGUUGGUGGUGAAAUCCCAAGGCUUAACCUUGGAACUGCCACCAAAACUUUUUAACUAGAGUAUGAUUGAGGUAAGCGGAAUUUCUAGUGUAGAGGUGAAAUUCGUAGAUAUUAGAAAGAACACCAAUUGCGAAGGCAGCUUUCUGGAUCAUUACUGACACUGAGGAGCGAAAGCAUGGGUAGCGAAGAGGAUUAGAUACCCUCGUAGUCCAUGCCGUAAACGAUGUGUGCUAGACGUUGGAAAUUUAUUUUUCAGUGUCGCAGCAAAAGCGUUAAGCACACCGCCUGGGGAGUACGGCCGCAAGGUUAAAACUCAAAUGAAUUGACGGGGACCCGCACAAGUAGUGGAGCAUGUGGUUUAAUUCGAAGAUACGCGCAGAACCUUACCAACACUUGACAUGUUCGUCGCGACUCUAAGAGAUUAGAGUUUUCGGUUCGGCCGGACGAAACACAGGUGCUGCAUGGCUGUCGUCAGCUCGUGUCGUGAGAUGUUGGGUUAAGUCCCGCAACGAGCGCAACCCUUACUUUUAGUUGCCAUCAUUUAGUUGGGCACUCUGAAAGAACUGCCAGUGAUAAGCUGGAGGAAGGUGGGGAUGACGUCAAGUCCUCAUGGCCCUUAUGUGUUGGGCUACACACGUGCUACAAUGGCAUUUACAAUAGGAAGCAAGGCGGCGACGUCAAGCAAAUCCUAAAAAAAUGCCUCAGUUCGGAUUGUACUCUGCAACUCGAGUACAUGAAGCUGGAAUUACUAGUAAUCGCGGAUCAGCGCGCCGCGGUGAAUACGUUCCCGGGUCUUGUACACACCGCCCGUCACACCAUGGGAGUUGGUUCUACCUUAAGGCAAAGCUUAAAACCUAUGACCACGG
rnacentral:rRNA from 1 species